ACACAUGCAAGUCGAGGGGCAGCGGGAAUUGAGCUUGCUCAAUUUGCCGGCGACCGGCGCACGGGUGCGUAACGCGUAUGUAACCUACCUUGAACUGGGGAAUAACACUGAGAAAUCGGUACUAAUACCCCAUAAUACACUGGAAGGCAUCUUUUGGUGUUGAAAGCUCCGGCGGUUCAAGAUGGACAUGCGUUGUAUUAGUUAGUUGGUGAGGUAACGGCUCACCAAGGCGACGAUACAUAGGGGGACUGAGAGGUUAACCCCCCACAUUGGUACUGAGACACGGACCAAACUCCUACGGGAGGCAGCAGUGAGGAAUAUUGGUCAAUGGACGCAAGUCUGAACCAGCCAUGCCGCGUGCAGGAAGACGGCUCUAUGAGUUGUAAACUGCUUUUGUACGAGGGUAAACUCGGAUACGUGUAUCCGACUGAAAGUAUCGUACGAAUAAGGAUCGGCUAACUCCGUGCCAGCAGCCGCGGUAAUACGGAGGAUCCAAGCGUUAUCCGGAUUUAUUGGGUUUAAAGGGUGCGUAGGCGGUUUGAUAAGUUAGAGGUGAAAGCUCGGGGCUUAACUCCGAGACUGCCUCUAAUACUGUUGAGCUAGAGAGUAGUUGCGGUAGGCGGAAUGUAUGGUGUAGCGGUGAAAUGCGUAGAGAUCAUACAGAACACCGAUUGCGAAGGCAGCUUACCAAACUAUAUCUGACGUUGAGGCACGAAAGCGUGGGGAGCAAACAGGAUUAGAUACCCUGGUAGUCCACGCAGUAAACGAUGAUAGCUCGUUGUCGGCGAUACACAGUCGGUGACUAAGAGAAAUCGAUAAGCUAUCCACCUGGGG
rnacentral:rRNA from 1 species